rnacentral:rRNA from 1 species
UGGGGGAUAUUGCACAAUGGGCGAAAGCCUGAUGCAGCGACGCCGCGUGGGGGAUGAAGGCCUUCGGGUUGUAAACUUCUUUUGCUCUGAACAAGGCAUGCUAAUGGGUGUGUUGAGUGUAGGGGUUGAUUAGCGCCGGCUAACUACGUGCCAGCAGCCGCGGUAAUACGUAGGGCGCGAGCGUUGUCCGGAAUUAUUGGGCGUAAAGGGCUUGUAGGUGGCUGGUUGCGUCUGUCGUGAAAGCUCAUGGCUUAGCUGUGGGUUUGCGGUGGGUACGGGCUGGCUUGAGUGCAGUAGGGGAGGCUGGAAUGCCUGGUGUAGCGGUGGAAUGCGCAGAUAUCAGGAGGAAUACCGGUGGCGAAGGCGGGUCUCUGGGCUGUUACUGACACUGAGGAGCGAAAGCAUGGGGAGCGAACAGG